AUGAAGAUAGCUCCAACUCUGCCUCCAGUGGUCAGUACUACAACCCUUACAGUACUUCUCCCCCUGCAGGGGGCUUUCUGUGGCCACCACCAGGGGUGGUGAACCCGCCACUUCCGCAGGCAGUUGCAGCAUUGCCUUAUUUGGAUUAUCACGGCUACCUACCAUAUAGAGCUCCACAGUUGCAAUAUCACCCACCUACGUACGUGUAUUUGCCACCAACAGACGAGCCGUAUGAGGGACCACCGGGAGAGAGAUUUGAGGACUGAAGAAUGCAGAGAAUAUGCUACAUGGAUUAUUCUGGACUAUGCCUUUGCCUCUGUUGUAUCUUUGGAUUGUAAUAAUUCUAAUGGACUUUGGAUGUAUUGCGUUCUAUGUGUGGACUUUGGACAUGAGUUAUGUGUAAUAAUUCUAAUGGACUUUGGAUGUAUUACGUUGUAUGUGUGGACUUUGGACA